UCUUCUUCUUCUUCUNCUUCUUCUUCUUCUUCCUCUUCUUCUUCUUCUUCUUGUUCUUCUUCUUCUUCUUCUUUUCUUCUCCUCUUCUACUUCUCAUCUUCUUCUAUUUUUCCUCUUCUUCACGUCUUCUCCUCUUUUUGUUCAUCUUUCUUCUUCUUCUUCUUUCUAAAUAUUACUAACCCUAAUAACCUAGGACUAAUAACCUAGUACUGUCUUAUUUUCUUCUUCUUCUUUCUAACCCUAAUAACCCGGCACUAAUAACCUUGCACUAACUUACUAACCCUAAUAACCUCGCACUAACUUACUAACCCUAAUAACCUAACACUAACUUAUUUCUUCUUCUU
rnacentral:lncRNA from 1 species